AUUGAACGCUGGCGGCAGGCUUAACACAUGCAAGUCGAGCGGAGCGAGGGUGCUUGCACCUUAGCUUAGCGGCGGACGGGUGAGUAAUGCUUAGGAAUCUGCCUAUUAGUGGGGGACGACAUUCCGAAAGGAAUGCUAAUACCGCAUACGCCCUACGGGGGAAAGCAGGGGAUCUUCGGACCUUGCGCUAAUAGAUGAGCCUCAGUCGGAUUAGCUAGUUGGUGGGGUAAAGGCCUACCAAGGCGACGAUCUGUAGCGGGUCUGAGAGGAUGAUCCGCCACACUGGGACUGAGACACGGCCCAGACUCCUACGGGAGGCAGCAGUGGGGAAUAUUGGACAAUGGGCGGAAGCCUGAUCCAGCCAUGCCGCGUGUGUGAAGAAGGCCUUUUGGUUGUAAAGCACUUUAAGCGAGGAGGAGGCUACUUAGAUUAAUACUCUGGGAUAGUGGACGUUACUCGCAGAAUAAGCACCGGCUAACUCUGUGCCAGCCGCCGCGGUAA
rnacentral:rRNA from 1 species